GCUUACUCUCUGGCUAUACCUGGAGGUAGAGACCACCCGAAGAAUGACACAGGCGCUACAAAUCCUACACCUUUAAAUAUUCUCUCCAAAUAUUUGAGCCUGAGCUUACGAAUAUAAGUCCAACCCCUGGGGAAGUUGGGUGAUAUGGGUAAAUUGACAGGG
rnacentral:ribozyme from 1 species